rnacentral:rRNA from 1 species
CAGUAGCCACGGGAAUACGGAGGAUCCAAGCGUUAUCCGGAUUUAUUGGGUUUAAAGGGUGCGUAGGUGGCUUAUUAAGUCAGGGGUGAAAGACGGUAGCUUAACUAUCGCAGUGCCUUUGAUACUGAUGAGCUUGAAUGAACUAGAGGUAGGCGGAAUGUGACAAGUAGCGGUGAAAUGCAUAGAUAUGUCACAGAACACCAAUUGCGAAGGCAGCUUACUAUGGUUUUAUUGACACUGAGGCACGAAAGCGUGGGGAUCAAACAGGAUUAGAGACCCGCGUAGUCCCUGUCUCUUAUAC